AUUGAACGCUAGCGGGAGGCCUAACACAUGCAAGUCGAACGAGAGGCGGACGGGUGAGUAAUAUAUCGGAGCGUUCCCAGUAGCGGGGGAUAAAUAAUUGAAAGAGGGGUUAAUACCGCAUACUCUAGGAGCGGUCCAUAUGGGAUUAGCUAGAUGGGGGGGUAAAGGCUCACCAAGGCAACGAUCCGUAGCUGGUUUGAGAGGACGACCAGCCACACUGGGACUGAGACACGGCCCAGACUCCUACGGGAGGCAGCAGUGGGGAAUUUUGGACAAUGGGGGAAACCCUGAUCCAGCCAUCCCGCGUGUAUGAGAAGGCCUUCGGGUUGUAAAGUACUUUUGGCAGGGAGGCGUUAUCUGCAGAAUAAGCACCGGCUAACUACGUGCCAGCAGCCGCGGUAAUUC
rnacentral:rRNA from 1 species